UCCAAGUUGCAAAGCUUG
rnacentral:snRNA from 1 species